CAUCAUUAUAAGAGUCGAAUUACCGAUACGUCGAAAAUCUGAGUGGAAAGUAACGUCAAACGUGGAACGUAGAUCCCGGAAUUUUAUUUGACUUUAUUAUUUAGCAUCUACGAACAUUACUUUCGUGGGGAUAGUUUUUGAUGUUGUUACAUAUAAUUUAGUCUCAAUAUCGAGAAUGACAAAAGGCUUCGUUGUGGUAGCAUUAAACUCAGAGUGCGUCAUAUCGGGAAAAUGAUUUCAAAGCUGUAGGCCCACAGCUGUGCAGGUCUUUUCAUUUAGAUUCACGGAUCUCAAGGAUAACAUGGCCACAACACCGGGGGACGACCGCAUGGGUAGAGAGCCAAGAGAGCCUUCGUCUCCUCUUGUCCUACAGAUGGAGCUGGACCCUCCCACACUGCAGCAGUCGCCGCCUUCUUUAUCUGGUUCAUGACAUCAGGAGGUGGACGCAUAUCCUUCUGGUUAUUGUCUGGGUGCAUUUCCACCAGAGUGAAAAUUGUGUGUAGUAGUUGGAAGAAAGCACAACUCACAUCUGUCUACACAUUUCAUAUUGUUUACUAGUUAGAUAGACGUGAUCUAGGCCUAAAUUUUCUGAAUUAUAAAUGUUUAAGAACCUGACCAGACAUGCCUGAUAAUGUAAAUUCUCUAAACACAAAUUAAUAACAAAUUCAUUCUUCUGUCA